UUUUCAUCAUGAACAUUUCAGUGUGCAUCUUAGAAAAGAGCAUGUAAGAGAUCCUUAAGCCAAUGCUGAUCAUUGUCCAUGACGGAAGAGGGACUUCCACCUACGUUCUGCUACGUCCUUAUCUUCCCGACGUACGCUCAUCCAGCUUCACUGCUUCAGUGCUUCUUAUGCUGCAAAACAACUUUUCUUGCUUCACUGGCGAGGCUUGAUCACUUCAGUUGCUGUGACACACCUGCAAUCACUCACCACGGGAUAACGGCCAGGUAAUGCAGAGAAAACGUCGAGAAGAUGGACACCAAAACGUCGC